rnacentral:lncRNA from 1 species
AAAAAAAACCCUCCCCCUUUUUUACAAAAUACUCAAUAACUCAAAAAUAAAAUUUUGAAUCAAAACCUAAAAGUAUACAGAUCUUUAGAUUAAUAUAAGAAAGACAGGUGUAAAGUUUUAAGCAAUAAUCAUAAAUGGUUUUUGAGAUAUGGUGCGACAUGUAAAAACCCCCUCCCCCUUUUUUACAAAAUACUCAAUAACUCAAAAAUGAAAUUUUGAAUCAUCACCAAAAAGUAUACAGAUAUGAAGAUUAAUAUAACUAAGAAGUGUUUAAAGUUUUAAGCCAUAAUCAAGAAUCGUUUUUGAGAUACGGUGCGACAUGUGAAAAAAAACACACCCCUGUUUUAGUUACAAAGUGCCG